UGCGCAUGUACCACGUGCUGAAGGAGGC
rnacentral:piRNA from 1 species